rnacentral:rRNA from 1 species
UACGGGGGGGGUAAGCGUUGUUCGGAAUUCCUGGGCGUAAAGGGCUCGUAGGCGGCCAACUAAGUCAGACGUGAAAUCCCUCAGCUUAACUGGGGAACUGCGUCUGAUACUGGAUGGCUUGGAUUUGGGAGAGGGAUGCGGAAUUCCAGGUGUAGCGGUGAAAUGCGUAGAUAUCUGGAGGAACACCGGUGGCGAAGGCGGCAUCCUGGACCAAUAUUGACGCUGAGGAGCGAAAGCCAGGGGAGCAAACGGG